rnacentral:rRNA from 1 species
CUAAGAGCGAAUGGUGGAUGCCUUGACUGGUAAAGGCGAUGAAGGACGUACUAGACUGCGAUAAGCUACGGGGAGCUGUCAAGAAGCUUUGAUCCGUAGAUUUCCGAAUGGGGCAACCCAAUGUAUAGAGAUAUACAUUACCUAUAUAGGAGCGAACGAGGGGAAUUGAAACAUCUUAGUACCCUCAGGAAAAGAAAUCAAUAGAGAUUGCGUCAGUAGCGGCGAGCGAAAGCGUAAGAGGGCAAACCCAGUGCUUGCACUGGGGGUUGUAGGACUGCAAUGUGCAAGAGGUGAGUUUAGCAGAACAUUCUGGAAAGUAUAGCCAUAGAGGGUGAUAGUCCCGUAUGCGAAAAACAAACCUUAGCUAGCAGUAUCCUGAGUAGGGCGGGACACGAGAAAUCCUGUCUGAAGCUGGGUCGACCACGAUCCAACCCUAAAUACUAAUACCAGAUCGAUAGUGCACAAGUACCGUGAGGGAAAGGUGAAAAGAACUGAGGUGAUCAGAGUGAAAUAGAACCUGAAACCAUUUGCUUACAAUCAUUCAGAGCACUAUGUAGCAAUACAGUGUGAUGGACUGCCUUUUGCAUAAUGAGCCUGCGAGUUGUGGUGUCUGGCAAGGUUAAGCAAACGCGAAGCCGUAGCGAAAGCGAGUCUGAAUAGGGCGCUUAGUCAGAUGCUGCAGACCCGAAACGAAGUGAUCUAUCCAUGAGCAAGUUGAAGCUAGUGUAAGAACUAGUGGAGGACUGAACCCAUAGGCGUUGAAAAGCCCCGGGAUGACUUGUGGAUAGGGGUGAAAGGCCAAUCAAACUUCGUGAUAGCUGGUUCUCUCCGAAAUAUAUUUAGGUAUAGCGUUGUGUCGUAAUAUAAGGGGGUAGAGCACUGAAUGGGCUAGGGCAUACACCAAUGUACCAAACCCUAUCAAACUCCGAAUACCUUAUAUGUAAUCACAGCAGUCAGGCGGCGAGUGAUAAAAUCCGUCGUCAAGAGGGAAACAACCCAGACUACCAGCUAAGGUCCCUAAAUCUUACUUAAGUGGAAAACGAUGUGAAGUUACUUAAACAACCAGGAGGUUGGCUUAGAAGCAGCCAUCCUUUAAAGAAAGCGUAAUAGCUCACUGGUCUAGUGAUUUUGCGCGGAAAAUAUAACGGGGCUAAAGUAAGUACCGAAGCUGUAGACUUGAUUUUAUCAAGUGGUAGGAGAGCGUUCUAUUUGCGCCGAAGGUAUACCGGUAAGGAGUGCUGGAGCGAAUAGAAGUGAGCAUGCAGGCAUGAGUAGCGAUAAUUAAUGUGAGAAUCAUUAACGCCGUAAACCCAAGGUUUCCUACGCGAUGCUCGUCAUCGUAGGGUUAGUCGGGUCCUAAGUCGAGUCCGAAAGGGGUAGACGAUGGCAAAUUGGUUAAUAUUCCAAUACCAACAUUAGUGUGCGAUGGAAGGACGCUUAGGGCUAAGGGGGCUAGCGGAUGGAAGUGCUAGUCUAAGGUCGUAGGAGGUUAUACAGGCAAAUCCGUAUAACAAUACUCCGAGAACUGAAAGGCUUUUUGAAGUCUUCGGAUGGAUAGAAGAACCCCUGAUGCCGUCGAGCCAAGAAAAGUUUCUAAGUUUAGCUAAUGUUGCCCGUACCGUAAACCGACACAGGUGGGUGGGAUGAGUAUUCUAAGGCGCGUGGAAGAACUCUCUUUAAGGAACUCUGCAAAAUAGCACCGUAUCUUCGGUAUAAGGUGUGGUUCGCUUCGUAUUAGGAUUUACUCCGAAAGCGAAGAAACUUACAACAAAGAGUCCCUCCCGACUGUUUACCAAAAACACAGCACUCUGCUAACUCGUAAGAGGAUGUAUAGGGUGUGACGCCUGCCCGGUGCUCGAAGGUUAAUUGAUGGGGUUAGCAUUAGCGAAGCUCUUGAUCGAAGCCCGAGUAAACGGCGGCCGUAACUAUAACGGUCCUAAGGUAGCGAAAUUCCUUGUCGGUUAAAUACCGACCUGCAUGAAUGGCGUAACGAGAUGGGAGCUGUCUCAAAGAGGGAUCCAGUGAAAUUGUAGUGGAGGUGAAAAUUCCUCCUACCCGCGGCAAGACGGAAAGACCCCGUGGACCUUUACUACAGCUUGACACUGCUAUUUGGAUAAGAAUGUGCAGGAUAGGUGGGAGGCUUUGAGUAUAUGACGCCAGUUGUAUAUGAGCCAUUGUUGAGAUACCACUCUUUCUUAUUUGGGUAGCUAACCAGCUUGAGUUAUCCUCAAGUGGGACAAUGUCUGGUGGGUAGUUUGACUGGGGCGGUCGCCUCCCAAAUAAUAACGGAGGCUUACAAAGGUUGGCUCAGAACGGUUGGAAAUCGUUCGUAGAGUAUAAAGGUAUAAGCCAGCUUAACUGCAAGACAUACAAGUCAAGCAGAGACGAAAGUCGGUCUUAGUGAUCCGGUGGUUCUGUGUGGAAGGGCCAUCGCUCAAAGGAUAAAAGGUACCCCGGGGAUAACAGGCUGAUCUCCCCCAAGAGCUCACAUCGACGGGGAGGUUUGGCACCUCGAUGUCGGCUCAUCGCAUCCUGGGGCUGGAGCAGGUCCCAAGGGUAUGGCUGUUCGCCAUUUAAAGCGGUACGCGAGCUGGGUUCAGAACGUCGUGAGACAGUUCGGUCCCUAUCUGCCGUGGGCGUAAGAAGAUUGAAGAGAUUUGACCCUAGUACGAGAGGACCGGGUUGAACAAACCACUGGUGUAGCUGUUGUUCUGCCAAGAGCAUCGCAGCGUAGCUAAGUUUGGAAAGGAUAAACGCUGAAAGCAUCUAAGCGUGAAGCCAACUCUAAGAUGAAUCUUCUCUAAGCUCUCUAGAAGACUACUAGUUUGAUAGGCUGGGUGUGUAAUGGAUGAAAGUCCUUUAGCUGACCAGUACUAAUAGAGCGUUUGGCUUAUCU